GAUGACCUUCGAUGAUUCAAAGAAUAGAUCGAAAGUGAAAGACAAUGAAAUAUGCAAGAAGGAGAAGGAUCAAAGGAUAUAGCAGCCAGUUCAGCAAGAAAAUCAGAGGAAAUGAUCCCAAUAGAUUGCAAAUAGAAGUGGCAAAAAAGGCAAAUCAUUGAACACAAAUUCUAAAAUGAGUUGCAGGAACUUCGUGAUCCAGAAUAUGAAUGAGAGAUGGCACUCAAGAUUUCACAGAUGAGGUGCAUCACAGCAAUGACAAAUACAGAAAAAGGAAAGAGAAGGAAAAGAAAAGCGGCCUCUCUCUCUUCACUCUACAAUCAUUAUAGAGAGAAGAUAACAUUGCAAGCAUGGGCGGCUACAAUCAAGACAAAGGUAUGUAAUUCUUUCUUUUCAAGCUAUGUCCUAUAUCUAUAUUUGACAACAUAGUCAUAUCUAACUUACAUGAGCAUAAUGUUGAUGAGGUAUUAGAGAUUAUAAGAGUCAGAUUUCAAAUACAA